rnacentral:tRNA from 1 species
GCCAGUUGGGAUGGCUCACUCAGUAGAGAAUGAGACUCUUAAUCUCAGGGUCAAGGGUUCAAGCCCCAUGGUGGGCA